AACGAACGCUGGCGGCAUGCCUAACACAUGCAAGUCGAACGAGACCUUCGGGUCUAGUGGCGCACGGGUGCGUAACGCGUGGGAAUCUGCCCUUGGGUACGGAAUAACAGUUAGAAAUGACUGCUAAUACCGUAUAAUGAUUUCGGUCCAAAGAUUUAUCGCCCAGGGAUGAGCCCGCGUAGGAUUAGCUUGUUGGUGAGGUAAAGGCUCACCAAGGCGACGAUCCUUAGCGGUCUGAGAGGAUGAUCAGCCACACUGGGACUGAGACACGGCCCAGACUCCUACGGGAGGGCAGCAGUGGGGAAGUAUUGGACAAUGGGCGAAAGCCUGAUCCAGCAAUGCCGCGUGAGUGAUGAAGG
rnacentral:rRNA from 1 species